rnacentral:tRNA from 1 species
ACCUAGGUAAUUAAAAUAUAAUAUAAUAUUGAAGCUAUUAAUUUAGGAUUAGUAAAUCCUCUUAGGUA